GUGCUCGCUUCGGUAGCACCUACACUAAAUUUGGGACAAUACACAGAAGGCCAGCAUGGCCGCCGCACAAGGAUGACAUGCCAAGGUGUGCAGCAUUCUGUUUUUUU
ensembl:snRNA U6 U6 spliceosomal RNA